GCGCCAUCGAAGAGCUACGCGGCACUGUGCUGAUGUGAACGUGGGAGAAAGGCCAAGAGCCUGCCCCUGCUGAACUUUUGGACCUAGGCAAGCUGCGCGCUCUAUAAAAGAAGCGCGCGCGACUCGCCGCAGCCGCCGUAGGCGACAUCGCCGCCGCCGAUGACUGCUGCCUUUUGUCCGACGCACCGGGCACUUUCAGUGUGGAUGAGGGAGAAUCGGUGUGCACCACAUGUGAGCAGCUGAGGGAAGAGUUGGCAGCCCUCAAGCGAAGGAAUCAAGAAUUGGAGGAACUGCAUG